GACGAACGCUGGCGGCGUGCUUAACACAUGCAAGUCGAACGGAAAGGCCCUGCUUUUGUGGGGUGCUCGAGUGGCGAACGGGUGAGUAACACGUGAGUAACCUGCCCUUGACUUUGGGAUAACUUCAGGAAACUGGGGCUAAUACCGGAUAGGAGCUCCUGCUGCAUGGUGGGGGUUGGAAAGUUUCGGCGGUUGGGGAUGGACUCGCGGCUUAUCAGCUUGUUGGUGGGGUAGUGGCUUACCAAGGCUUUGACGGGUAGCCGGCCUGAGAGGGUGACCGGCCACAUUGGGACUGAGAUACGGCCCAGACUCCAACGGGAGGCAGCAGUGGGGAAUAUUGCACAAUGGGCGGAAGCCUGAUGCAGCAACGCCGCGUGCGGGAUGACGGCCUUCGGGUUAUAAACCGCUUUCGCCUGUGACGAAGCGUGAGUGACGGUAAUGGGUAAAGAAGCACCGGCUAACUACGUG
rnacentral:rRNA from 1 species